rnacentral:lncRNA from 1 species
GGUAAAAGCCCAAACUUCCUGACUCUUAGUACAGUGCUCAUUUUUUUCAGCUCAAUAAACUGUGGUGGGCCUUCCAGGAAAUAGAUAGAUUGCCUCUUUUUUUUUUUUUUUUCUGAUACUGGGAAUUGAACCCAUAGAUGCUUAACCACUGAGCCACAUCCCCAGUCCUUUUUUAAAAUAUCUUAUUUAGACUCAGAGUCUCACUAAGUUGCCUAGGGCCUUGCUAAGUUGCAGAGGCUGGCUUGGAACUUAAUAUCCUCCUGCCUCAGCCUCCUGAACUGCUGGGAUUAUAGGCAUAUGCCACCAUACCCAGCUAGUUUUGCCUCAUUUUUAACAGGCUGGCACUUGUAUUUUACUGUUACCUACUUUGUCCUUCAUUCUUAGAAAUGGAAGAAAGUGUCAUACUUGUUUCUAUACAUCUUUCCUUAUUAAAAAGAUAUUGCCCCUGGGUGAGGACAGCCCAGCAGCCAACCCCCAUGGCUGCAAGGCAGACAGGGAACUAGUAUUUACUGGAUUCUCACUAUGUGUUUGGCAGUGUCCUAAAUGCUGGAGUUAGAUUAGGGAAAAGGAAAUACAGUCUCUGCUCUAAAGGGGUCUACUUCAUCAUGCGCACCGACUGUUCCUCCUGGUCUUCCUGUCUAGGUUAUAUAAAGCCCUGUUGACUGAGACAGCUCUCUGGUGUUUGAUGGCAUCUGCUGGAUUUCCCAGAAUCCUUUGGAAAGCACAGGGCCAGGCAGGGGCAGAGAGGGCCUUUGAGGAUGCUUAUCCAUUGAGGAUGCCUUUUGGGGCCAGAAGCCAGGCGCCAAUGCCACUCCCAGACACUGCCCCAGUCACUGUGGCUCUCUGCUAACAGAUGGCUGCUGGCCUGCAGGUGACAGGAUGAGUGGAACAGCUAGCCUAGGGGAACCAGGAGCAUUCUGUUGGCUCUGAAGGAGGAUGUGUUGGCCAGCUGACACUUCAAGGCUAAAAGAAGCCACAGUGUGCUCUGAGGCAAAUGGAACAUUUCCAGGGAUAAAAGUCAUGCACAGUUAAGAUGCAAUUCUUUGAAGAGGUCUGGAGGUGUCCUUCCCCAGAGCAUUUGCUGUGUGUUUCAGGAUGCUGCAUUAAUAUUUCACAAAUAUGUAUAUCAAUAUUUUAACGUGUGCUGUGUUUUAAUGUCAAUCUCACCAGCUUUCCUGACUACAGAUCUUAGAUUAUACUUGCCUUUUCCACUCAGAUGUUUAUUU